AUCUUACCUUUCGGGGAGGAUCGGGUCCAGUAACUGGGGGUUUAUGGCUAACCGAUAUUUCACACCAUCAUUUAGCUAUUGCAAUUCUUUUCCUGAUAG